rnacentral:lncRNA from 1 species
UUCACUAUUAUUUCGAUUGAUUUUUCAUCGGUUGCAUUGAUGUGACUUUGGGCCACACACUUGUAAGUUCCAUUGUCUGUUCCACCAACAUUACUGAGAGUUAAUGUUUGUUCUUCUUUUCCUGUUCCACCAAUCUGUACGCCAUCUUUAUACCAAGUCACAUCGGCUGGAGGGUUUCCACCUUCACCUCUACAUACACAUGUGAAGUUAACACCUUCAUUUACUGUCUCGGGA